GACGAACGCUGGCGGCGUGCUUAACACAUGCAAGUCGAACGAUGAACCAGGGCUUGCCCUGGGGAUUAGUGGCGAACGGGUGAGUAACACGUGGGCAACCUGCCCCUGACAUCGGGAUAACUCCGGGAAACCGGGGCUAAUACCGCAUACGAUUCCGAGACUGCGGUUUCGGAAAGAAAGCGAUACCGUGGGUAUCGCGCUCUUGGAUGGGCUCAUGUCCUAUCAGCUUGUUGGUGAGGUAACGGCUCACCAAGGCUUCGACGGGUAGCUGGUCUGAGAGGACGAUCAGCCACACUGGCACUGCGACACGGGCCAGACUCCUACGGGAGGCAGCAGUAAGGAAUAUUGCGCAAUGGACGAAAGUCUGACGCAGCGACGCUGCGUGGGGGAUGAAGGUCUUCGGAUUGUAAACCCCUUUCGGCAGGGAAGAUGGAACGGGUAACCGUUCGGACGGUACCUGCAGAAGCAGCCACGGCUAACUUCGUGCCAGCAGCCGCCGUAACAC
rnacentral:rRNA from 1 species